GGGCAACAUUGAGUCAUUCCUGUGCUCUCAGGAAUACACCUGUUUUCUGGAGAAGGCCUAAAGAAUAUAAUUCUUAAGAAAUCAUGAGAUUGAGGCUGAUUAGCAAGAGAUCCCUGAGUUCUGGGCUUUCUGGUUCAUGAACUUUUGUGCAAUGAACUCCUGGCUUAUCGAGAUAAGGGGAGACCAUCCAAAGUGAUCUAAAGAUAACAAAAAAAAAAGUAAAAUAAACUAAAUGGAGAUUUCUUCCUCUUAAAAGCUGUUCACUUUUUGCUCUGGUCCUUAGCUGUGAUUUUCCUCAGCACAUCCUUUCAUCGAGGCCUCAUGUUCCUGAGAGGCUGGAAGCUGCUGCUCUAGUUAUUAGAAAAAGAUAUGUUGCAGCGGAGGAUUUGAAGAGUUGAACCCACUGGAAAGGCUGACUUUUUCAUCCUAUUAAAUCGCUGGAAAGGAACAGUCAAACUGCAAGACCCAGAAAAAGACGGAGCGUCCCGGGGGUGAAUAGUGUCACCUAGGUGAAAUACGGAGGCCACAAGUGACCGAAAAGGAAAGAAGGCUUCAAGCCACAGUUGAUUUAUUGCAGAAUUAUAGUCCGACAGGCGGACUGGGUGCCACGUCUGAUCAUACGCUCUUCUUCCAGGCAAUCCUGCUCCCCUAACGGAACAUUGUUUCCCUCACUGUCAAAACGAGUAUCCCCUCCAAAGAAGACUCCCUCAUUUCCCCUUUCCUCCUUCCCACACCUUUUUUAAUUGCAUAAUAUUUAUGUAGUAUUUCGUUUCCCGGAAUCCUUUUCUGUAACUCGGUAUAAUCAAGACAUAAAUUCUGAAAAAUAAAGCUUUGAACUCAGUUCCGAAAACAAAAAUAUUCAGCCCAAUGUGACCCUUUCCCUCCCUCGCCUUCUUCCUCCCCCCCUUCCCAGUUCCAAGGUUCUAGUCCGAAGAUCUGCCCCUUGCUAGUGGUGAUAGGGGAAUUAGCGAAGCAGGUCGGGGCAGAUUUCUUCAGAAAAAAACAUGGAUGAAGGAAAGCGUUCCUAAAUUUCAAUCCCAUCACCUUCUCCUCACCUCCAAACCCCCUUUUGAAGAAGGAUACAAGAGUUGUGCAGCAAGUAUUUUAUAAAACAUAAAAUAUGAUCUCCAUUUAUUGCAAUCAGCAACAUCAUAAUUACAAUAAAUUUCAUAAUCAUUUGUCUAAAAUGAUGAUCAAGCUUAAGUCCAGAUAGUCUUCACAAACUAGGGUUUUAUUUUAUUUUAUUUUUUUAAACCACCCAGAUCCAAUGCAUCAGCUACUGGCAAAUUAUGUCGUAACCUAAGUCAGGAUCAAAAAUAAUACAGAUAACGUUGCGAAGUACGAGGUAAAAAUAUCAAAGGAAGCAGGAUAAAACGAUAUUGAAAAUAAAAUUUUGUACCACUCACUCCUUCCACUCUCCCUCCCAAAAGCGUUAUGAUUUUUUUUUUUUUACUUUGUAUUUAAGGACACAAAAUGAUAGAUUUAACAAAUCAAUAGAUUAAGCUUCAGGAAUAACGUGAUCGAAGUUUUCCGAAAUGUCAAGAAAACAGUUGAAUUCAAACUCGAGUAAUUCACCUGACUGGCUUCUUAAGCUUGGGGAGCUGGCUCGGGGCUGAGGAAGGAAAGCCCUAACUAGGGGAGGCGGUUUUGGUUUUGGUUUUUGUCAAGUCAGGAAACCCGCUCUGCCAAAGUCAACUAUGAAUCUCGAGUCGUCCCCCAAAGCUAGCAUUCUAGGGACAUGUUCGUGCCCUUCAGUGCGGCCAAUGUCCGUACGAACUAGCGAGAAUAGUCCGGGCUGGUGCUCAGGAAUGGAGCCGAGCAGGGACGGAAUGGGGACAGUUUGGAUGGGCGGCUGAUGGACAGCAGUCUACAUGCCUCUGCUGCUUCUUUCCCCACCCACGGGGCACCCUCCCGGUGGCACCUCAAGAAUAACCCCCUCUCAAAAGAAUGUGAUUGACUUUUUUCUUUUCUUUUUUUAAGACAUGACGAGUCCUUAAGAAUGCAGUGUCACUCGUUCCCUUAACAGGUAGUUUCAUGGGGGAUCUUGCCCGUCUUAAAUAUCAAAGGCUGGGCAGAGGCGCGCCGAGAAGGAGAGGGAGAGCUGGAACAUUUUGUACUGGUAGCAAAUGAGCUUUAAAUAACCUCAUCUUCCUCCCACUUUCCCUCAACCCCAUGGUGAAAAGAGAGAGGGAGCCUGACCAUUUUGAAAAACUCCUAUAAACUCUGUAGGAGACACUCCACACGAAUGCAAAAUAGUAACCAGCCCCUUUCAAUUCGUUCCCCUACAUCCCAAGGCCCUCUUGGUGGUUGCAUCCCUUGUAGGAUAA